CAAAACUACAAAAACUUAGUCUCAGUUCGGAUUGUAGGCUGAAACUCGCCUACAUGAAGCUGGAGUUGCUAGUAAUCGCGCAUCAGCCAUGGCGCGGUGAAUACGUUCCCGGGCCUUGUACACACCGCCCGUCAAGCCAUGGAAGCCGGGAGUGCCUGAAGUGUGCAACCGCAAGGAGCGCCCUAAGGUAAAACUGGUGACUGGGGCUAAGUCGUAACAAGGUAGC
rnacentral:rRNA from 1 species